rnacentral:rRNA from 1 species
CGUACACUCCUGCGGGAGGCAGCAGUGGGGAAUUUUGGACAAUGGGCGCAAGCCUGAUCCAGCCAUGCCGCGUGCGGGAAGAAGGCCUUCGGGUUGUAAACCGCUUUUGUCAGGGAAGAAAAGGUUCUGGCUAAUACCUGGGACUCAUGACGGUACCUGAAGAAUAAGCACCGGCUAACUACGUGCCAGCAGCCGCGGUAAUACGUAGGGUGCAAGCGUUAAUCGGAAUUACUGGGCGUAAAGCGUGCGCAGGCGGUUAUGCAAGACAGAGGUGAAAUCCCCGGGCUCAACCUGGGAACUGCCUUUGUGACUGCAUGGCUAGAGUACGGUAGAGGGGGAUGGAAUUCCGCGUGUAGCAGUGAAAUGCGUAGAUAUGCGGAGGAACACCGAUGGCGAAGGCAAUCCCCUGGACCUGUACUGACGCUCAUGCACGAAAGCGUGGGGAGCAAACAGGAUUAGAAACCCCAGUAGUCCCAUGAU